CGUUAGCGGCGGGCUUAACACAUGCAAGUCGAGCGAGAAAGUCUCCUUCGGGAGGCGAGUAAAGCGGCGCACGGGUGAGUAACACGUGGGUAACCAACCCUUUGGCGCGGGACAACAUCCCGAAAGGGGUGCUAAUACCGCAUGAGUCGACGAGGUCCUCGGGCCUUGUCGGGAAACGGUGGCCUCUGUUUCAUGCUAUCGCCAGAGGACGGGCCCGCGGUCCAUCAGCUUGUUGGUGAGGUAAUGGCUCACCAAGGCAGAGACGGAUAGCUGGUCUGAGAGGAUGAUCAGCCACACUGGGACUGAGACACGGCCCAGACUCCUACGGGAGGCAGCAGUGGGGAAUAUUGGACAAUGGGCGAAAGCCUGAUCCAGCCACGCCGCGUGUGUGAUGAAGGCCCUCGGGUCGUAAAGCACUGUGGAGGGGAACGUACAAGCAGACGGUUAAUACCCGGCUGCCCUGACGGUACCCCUUUAGCAAGCACCGGCUAACUCCGUGCCAGCAGCCGCGGUAAUACGGAGGGUGCAAACGUUGCUCGGAAUCAUUGGGCGUAAAGCGCGUGUAGGCGGCAUGUUAAGUCGAGUGUGAAAGCCCUGGGCUCAACCCAGGAAGUGCGCUCGAAACUGGCACGCUAGAGUAC
rnacentral:rRNA from 1 species